GUUUAAUAUGUCAUCUUUCAAACAACUGAAAAUAAUAAGGCCAGCAAAUCACAUUUGUUUUCACAUUGUUUGGUUAAUUAGAAAACAAGGUCAGGAUGAAUAAAUAUAUGAAAGGAGUUGCUACAGUCUGUUUCUUCCUCCCUUCUUUUCUUUCUGUACAAUGGGAUUGAUACUUCCCAAACACCAUUGCCAAGGGGAUUUGUGAGGAUUGAUUAAAGCAGUUUGAAAAUAAGGCCUAUAUAUAUAUAUAUAUAUAUAUAUAUAUAUAUAUAUAUGUUCAAAUUGAUAGUUAUAAAUACCUUUUUUUAAGCUUUCAUAUAAUGACUCUUGUCUAGAGGGCUUUCAAAGAGCUUUUGUAAGAUAAAUAUAAAAUUACCUGUAUUUCUCAUUGCUGUCACCAACGAAAUUCAUCUCCAGAGAUGGAAUGUGGUAGCAAUUUACAGCGCUUAGUAAUAUUACAGAAGAGUUAAAUACUGGAUGUGAAUGAAGUAGUAGUUUUUAUAUUGAUUUAAUAAGUACUGACAGUGUGUUUGGUGCUCUGCAAGACAGAAAGCUAAAGAUGAAAGUAUUCAGUAUGAAAGUUCAGGAGGAAAUUAAGUAAGGAGAGUGUUAGCUACUUGAAUAGGAACAUGGUCAGGAUGUUGAAUUUAACAACUAUAAUCUACGGUUUUAUGUGGAACUUUAAUGACUCCAAAGAGUCAUUCUGGAAAAGCACUUGCAAUGCACAGUGCCAUCUAACACCAUUUUAGCCCUGAUGCAGAGUGAAGACAGCUACCUACUCAGUCACCAUGACUGUUUCUGGCAGCAAGUCUGAGUUUUCCUGGAGGUCUCCCACAAGCUAAACAGAAUCAGGGGUUGAAGUUGAUGAGGUCACAGGCUGAAGUAGUAUGUUCUCUGCUGAUAUGUUAGAACUAAUACAUUGCUGAAACCAAUGAGAGGAAGCUUCUUUCUUGGAGGGUAAAAUUCACACACUCUUUUUAUUGUCCUUAUGGAAAAAUGUCUCAUUUUGUUAAAGAUGUCGGGCUUUUCCCUUCUUGCUUGACCUGGAGAUCUAAGAUUCAUUGGCACAGAGCACCCAGAAAGUUUUCUAAUUGGCAAAAAUAUAACCUGGUAGCAAUAGGUUGCUUUUUCAGUUUCCUAAUUGGCCGCAAGGGUUGCCAGUAAAACUGGUUGGGUUUGAUUGAUGGAAAGAUUGUGUUGUUUGCAAAGUCUUCAUCUCAUCUACAAGGGAGGGGGUAGAGAUCCAUAGUAUUGUUCCCACAAACUCAGAGCAUAGAACUGAUGUACCUUCUCUUAUUUCACCCUCUGUCAUGCUGUCUGGAGUGGUUCAUGAUGUGAAUACCAACCUCAGGUCAGGCUGUCCAAAAAGCAGGUUAGACACCCUAAGCUACUGGUACGAUUUCACCAAUUCAGUAACAAAUGCAAACUCCUGGAUCACUGUAACAGUCUUACCAUGGAGUCACAGACUACCUUGGGCAGUCCAUGUAGAAAGUUUCUUCUAAUUCCUGGUAGUUUAUGAGGUAGGUAUUUUUAUUAAUGUUCUCUAAAGCAUGAGGUGUAUGUCCUUUCUACCAAACCAAACAAUACAAUACAAUAACCUAACUAUUUUAUCUAAUAUAACAGUAGAUCUUUAUAUUGGUUGUGAGAACAUCAUCUUUUGAAUCCUACUAAACAAUUGGCCAUGGCAAUGAAUUCUACAGGUUAAUUAUGCAUUUAACUAGUUUCGGAUUUGUUGUUUUUUAAUUUCACUGUUCACUGAAUAUCCCCUUUCUCUUGUAUUAUGAGAAGGAGUAAAUAUAAGAGCACCUAAUUUAUCUUCUCUGUACAACUAAUUAUUUUGUAUACCUCUACCAUGUCGUGUUCUCUCUAAACUAAACAUUUACAAUCUUUCUUCAAAUGGAAGUCUUUCCAUAUCUCCAAUUAUUUUUCAGUACGUCUCUGAACCUCCUAUUUCUACUAUAUCUAGGGUGACCAGAACUGAAUACAGUGCUCUAGGUGAAGACAUACACUGAUUGCUGUAAAUCAAUUAUAAUAUUUUCUGAAUUAUUCUGUUCUGUUACACAGUCAUUUUAAUGUUCUGCUUGUGUCUUUUGACCACUGCUACACAUGCACCUGGCAUUUGCCACAGUCGGAAGACCGGAUACUGGGCUAGAUGGACCUUUUGUCUGACCCAAUAUGGCCAUUCUUAUGUUGUGUUAUGUUCUUAUGGAGCAGGACUUCUUAUUGAGCUGUCUGCAGCAAUGCACAGUCAUUUUUUUCUUCGUGGUUGGUUAGUUUACAAUCAAAGAAUCAACAUGAGUAGAGCAGUUAUUCCUUCCAAUAUGAUCAUCUUGUGUUUAUCAACAUUGAAUUUUAUCAGCCAUCAGUCUGCCCAUUCACUGUAACUUUAUUAGGUCCCUCUGAAGUUCCUCACAAUUUUCUCUGGUCUUGAGUAACAUACAAAUUGUUAUCUCCAAAUGUUGCCAUCUCACGGGGUCCCCUCUUUUAGAUUAUUGAUAAAUGUAUUAAAACAACACUGAUUGUAGUAUGGAACUUUGUGCACCCACGCUGUAAACUUUUUGUAGUAUGAAAAAUUGGCCAUAUUUCUUAUAGUUUUCUAUGUUUUAGACAGAUUCUGAUGCAAGACAGUAAUUUUCAUCUCAUCCCAUGAGUAUUUAGUUUUCAGACCUUUUGGAAGGGACUGUGUCAAAGGCUUUUUGAAUGUCUGAUUGUCAACUCUUUUACCUUUCACCACUAUUUUGUUUCCACAGUCAAAGAAUUGUAGUAGAUUGGAUUUGUCCUUUCAUUUUCAUCUAGCUGUUUAUAAAACUCUCCUUAAUUACUGUUUCAACCAACUUAUUUGACACUGAACUAAAAUUAAGGUAAAUUACUUUAUUUUAGAAAUUACUAUCUUAACGGUAAUUUCCAGGCUCACGUCAGUUCUUCUUUUAAAAAACAUUCCCUGGCCUCCCUAGAAUAGCUGAUUGCAUAAAUUUGUUAGCAACUCACCCAUUUCACUCCAAAGUUUCUAAAACUCUUGGAUGUUCUGUCAUCUGGUGUUGUCAUGACUUAUUACUCUUUUAAUUUGUCAGUUGGUUCCAGUGCUGCUACUUUUGACACCUCAGUCUCUGUUAGUGCCUCAUCUUUAUUACUUGAAAAGAGUAAGUCUGGUAUAUUCCAAACAUCCUUCAUGGACAAGACUGAGGUUUAAAAAAAAAAAAAAUUAGUUUCCUUGAAAUGUCUUUAUUCUCCCCU